rnacentral:rRNA from 1 species
CGUUGUUCGGAAUUACUGGGCGUAAAGCGCGCGCAGGCGGUCUUCCAAGUCAGUGGUGAAAGCCCGGAGCUCAACUCCGGAACUGCCAUUGAAACUGUUGGACUUGAGUACGAGAGAGGUGAGUGGAAUUCCCAGUGUAGAGGUGAAAUUCGUAGAUAUUGGGAAGAACACCGGUGGCGAAGGCGGCUCACUGGCUCGUAACUGACGCUCAGGCGCGACAGCGUGGGGAUCAAACAGG